GGGGGGAGGAAGAGCCGAACGCUUCCGGCAGCUCCGUGCCAUCAUCACUGGGCACAGAUGGGUGCGUUGGUGGCCAACCCUCGGCGUGGCGCUGCUGGUGGCCCUGCUUGGUGGCCCUGCUUGGUGGCGCUGCUGGUGGCCCUGCUGGUGGCCCUGCUGGUGGCUCUGUUUGGUGGCCCUGCUUGGUGGCCCUGCUGGUGGCCCUGCUUGGUGGCCGCCCUGCUGGUGGCCCUGCUGCUGGUGGUGACGUGGCUCAGCUCUGCCCGCUGCUCUUUUUCUGUUCUUUCGUUUCCUCAACCUUUGCUCACCUCCCAUGGCCGGGGAGGCGCUGCUCCGGCCGUUCCUCACCAGGGCCUGGGAAGGAAGGAGACCCGCAGCCGGGCACCCAGCGCCAAGGCUGAGAUCCACAGCCAGCACAGGGGCAGCUGCCCUUUUUGUGCUGUUUCCUUUUUGGUGUUUUUUUUUAAUUUUUUUUUAAUAUUUUUUCUUUUUUAAAAAAGUUUUUUAAU
rnacentral:lncRNA from 1 species